UCUACAGUGGCAGCAGCCAACCUCAGUCCCUUUUUCCUGUCUUACUGAUAAUUCUCCUGGAUUUUUCUCAGACUAUGCAGUACAAAGUCUGCAGGAACAAUGUCUAAAAGCCUAUAACCUAUCCAAAUGACCAUGAUGCUACUCAAUUCUAAAUUGUAUAACAAGAAGGAAUGGCAACGACUAAAGGCCAUUUUUCAGCUUGUCCCACUAAGUGUGGGAGUGAGAACAAGUCCUAGCAUGUGAAUACGAUAACAACAAGCACUGUAUAUUGGGAAGAAAAUUUGAGUCAGAAGAUUUGGACUGAAACGCUUUCUGCCACUUAUUAGCAACAUGACUUUAGGGAUCCUGCCUGGAACUACCUACCUUCCAGAUGGGAACAACUCUGUCCACUCCACCACAUUGUUUUGUACCUUUCUAAAGAAUUUAUCAUAUAAAAUUGUGCAGAUGUGCUACAGAUACCUAGUACAGCUUCAGUAAACCUAGAACAACUAUUGGAUGCCCCCUAGGGGACACCUAGAAACUUUUAUUCAGGAGAGAAGGCCCAGAACAACUGGAGUAGCAGCUUCUUGGUACCUCUUUCAAUACUA